rnacentral:rRNA from 1 species
CACGUAGGGCGCGAGCGUUGUCCGGAAUUAUUGGGCGUAAAGAGCUCGUAGGCGGCCUGUUGCGUCCGCUGUGAAAGCCCGGGGCUUAGCCCCGGGUCGGCAGUGGAUACGGGCAGGCUAGAGGUAGGUAGGGGAGAAUGGAAUUCCCGGUGUAGCGGUGAAAUGCGCAGAUAUCGGGAGGAACACCGGUGGCGAAGGCGGUUCUCUGGGCCUUACCUGACGCUGAGGAGCGAAAGCGUGGGGAGCGAACAGG